rnacentral:rRNA from 1 species
UACGAAGGGGGCUAGCGUUGCUCGGAAUCACUGGGCGUAAAGCGCACGUAGGCGGCUUCUUAAGUCAGGGGUGAAAUCCUGGAGCUCAGCUCCAGAACUGCCUUUGAUACUGAGAGGCUUGAGUCCGGGAGAGGUGAGUGGAACUGCGAGUGUAGAGGUGAAAUUCGUAGAUACUCGCAAGAACACCAGUGGCGAAGGCGGCUCACUGGCCCGGUACUGACGCUGAGGUGCGAAAGCGUGGGGAGCAAACAGG